UACGUAGGGGGCAAGCGUUGUCCGGAUUUAUUGGGCGUAAAGAGCGUGUAGGCGCCAAGCAGGUCAGCUGUGAAAACUCGAGGCUCAACCUCGAGACGUCGGUUGAAACCGCUUGGCUAGAGUCCGGAAGAGGAGAGUGGAAUUCCCGGUGUAGCGGUGAAAUGCGCAGAUAUCGGGAAGAACACCCGUGGCGAAGGCGGCUCUCUGGGACGGUACUGACGCUGAGAGGCGAAAAGCGUGGGGAGCGA
rnacentral:rRNA from 1 species